GACGAACGCUGGCGGCGUGCCUAAUACAUGCAAGUAGAACGCACAGUUUAUACCGUAGCUUGCUACACCAUAGACUGUGAGUUGCGAACGGGUGAGUAACGCGUAGGUAACCUGCCUGGUAGCGGGGGAUAACUAUUGGAAACGAUAGCUAAUACCGCAUAAUAUUGAUUAUUGCAUGAUAAUUGAUUGAAAGGUGCUAUUGCAUCACUACCAGAUGGACCUGCGUUGUAUUAGCUAGUAGGUGAGGUAACGGCUCACCUAGGCGACGAUACAUAGCCGACCUGAGAGGGUGAUCGGCCACACUGGGACUGAGACACGGCCCAGACUCCUACGGGAGGCAGCAGUAGGGAAUCUUCGGCAAUGGACGAAAGUCUGACCGAGCAACGCCGCGUGAGUGAAGAAGGUUUUCGGAUCGUAAAGCUCUGUUGUAAGAGAAGAACGGGUGUGAGAGUGGAAAGUUCACACUGUGACGGUAUCUUACCAGAAAGGGACGGCUAACUACGUG
rnacentral:rRNA from 1 species